GACGAACCGUGCGAACGUUGUUCGGAAUCACUGGGCUUAAAGGGCGCGUAGGCGGGCAAGCAAGUCCGGGGUGAAAGCUUUCGGCUCAACCGGAAAAGGGCCUUGGAUACUGCUUGUCUGGAGGGAGGUAGGGGCAGAGGGAUCUUCCGGUGGAGCGGUGAAAUGCGUUGAUAUCGGAAGGAACGCCGGUGGCGAAAGCGCUCUGCUGGACCUCUUCUGACGCUGAGGCGCGAAAGCCAGGGGAGCAAACGGG
rnacentral:rRNA from 1 species